rnacentral:rRNA from 1 species
UACGUAGGGUGCAAGCGUUGUUCGGAUUCAUUGGGCGUAAAGGGUGCGUAGGUGGUUUGGUAAGUUGAAGGUGAAAUCUCGGAGCUUAACUCCGAAACUGCCUUCAAUACUGCCGGACUUGAGGACUGUAGAGGAGAAUGGAAUUCACGGUGUAGCAGUGAAAUGCGUAGAUAUCGUGAGGAAGACCAGUGGCGAAGGCGAUUCUCUGGGCAGUUCCUGACACUGAGGCACGAAGGCUAGGGGAGCAAACGGG